GCGCCCAUAGCUCAACCGGAUAGAGCGUCAGUCUUCGGAACUGAAUGUUGCAGGUUCGAUCCCUGCUGGGCGCG
rfam:Omnitrophica WOR_2 bacterium GWF2_43_52 gwf2_scaffold_377, whole genome shotgun sequence.